rnacentral:misc_RNA from 1 species
GAUGAAUAACGUAGCGAAAUGCGAUAAGUAGUGUGAAUUGCAGAAUUCAGUGAAUCAUCGAAUCUUUGAACGCACAUUGCGCCCCUUGGUAUUCCAUGGGGCAUGCCUGUUCGAGCGUCAUUUGUACCUUCAAGCUCUGCUUGGUGUUGGGUGUUUGUCUCGCCUCUGCGUGUAGACUCGCCUCAAAACAAUUGGCAGCCGGCGUAUUGAUUUCGGAGCGCAGUACAUCUCGCGCUUUGCACUCAUAACGACGACGUCCAAAAGUACAUUUUUACACUCUUGACCUCGGAUCAGGUAGGGAUACCCGCUGAACUUAAGCAUAUCAAUAAGCGGAGGA